AUUGAACGCUGGCGGCAGGCCUAACACAUGCAAGUCGAGCGGAGCGGCGGAAGGGGGAGGAAUGCCUAGGAAUCUGCCUGGUAGUGGGGGAUAACGUCCGGAAACGGGCGCCAAUACCGCAUACUAUGAGAUGAGUCAAGGUCGGGUUAGCUAGUUGGUGGGGGAAAGGCCUACCAAGGCGACGAUCCGUAACUGGUCUGAGGGGUUGAGCAGUCACACUGGACCUGAGACACGGUCCAGACUCCUACGGGGGGCAGCAUUGGGGAAUAUUUGACAAUGGGCGAAAGCCUGAUCCAGCCAUGCCGCUUGUGUGAAGAAGGUCUUCGGAUUUUAAAGCACUUUAAGUUGGGAGGCGUUACCAACAGAAUAAGCACCGGCUAACUUCGUGCCAGCAGCCGCGGUAAUAC
rnacentral:rRNA from 1 species